rnacentral:snRNA from 1 species
GCUCCCAAAGGCACGUGU